rnacentral:rRNA from 1 species
UACGAAGGGUGCAAACGUUGCUCGGAAUUAUUGGGCGUAAAGCGCACGUAGGCGGCUUUGCAAGUCGGAUGUGAAAUCCCCUCGGCUUAACCAAGGAAGUGCAUCCGAAACUGCAGAGCUUGAGUACGAAAGAGGAUCGCGGAAUUCCCGGUGUAGAGGUGAAAAUUCGUAGAUAUCGGGAGGAACACCAGUGGCGAAGGCGGCGAUCUGGGUCGAUACUGACGCUGAGGUGCGAAAAGCGUGGGGAGCAAACAGG